rnacentral:rRNA from 8 species
UUGACCUCGGAUCAGUAG